UACGUAGGGGGCGAGCGUUGUCCGGAUUUAUUGGGCGUAAAGAGCUCGUAGGCGGCUUGGCAAGUCGGGUGUGAAACCUCCAGGCUCAACCUGGAGACGCCACUCGAUACUGCCAUGGCUAGAGUCCGGUAGGGGACCACGGAAUUCCUGGUGUAGCGGUGAAAUGCGCAGAUAUCGGUAGGAACACCAGUGGCGAAGGCGGUCUCCUGGGGCAUUCUUGACGCUGAGGCGCGAAAGCUGGGGGAGCAAACGGGG
rnacentral:rRNA from 1 species